CACGUAGGGUGCGAGCGUUGUCCGGAAUUAUUGGGCGUAAAGAGCUCGUAGGCGGUGUGUCGCGUCGGCCGUGAAAACUUGGGGCUUAACUCUGAGCGUGCGGUCGAUACGGGCAUCACUUGAGUUCGGCAGGGGAGACUGGAAUUCCUGGUGUAGCGGUGAAAUGACGCAGAUAUCAGGAGGAACACCGGUGGCGAAGGCGGGUCUCUGGGCCGAUACUGACGCUGAGGAGCGAAAGCGUGGGGAGCGAACAGG
rnacentral:rRNA from 1 species